CCCUAUGGGGUGCCAUCAACGCGAUCAACGGCAUAAAACUGGAUCUGGACGGAAAACAGUCAGUUGAGUCGGAGAUCCCCGUGGGUGCGGAAGUCUCGGAUUCCCAUAUCACCAAGGAAGAAGCAGCAGAACGGAUGGUCAACGAGCUCAUCGAGCGCCUCACGCAGAAAGUCCGUAUCAAGCAGGAGAAGGGCGAUGCGAUCUUCUACGAGGAGAAAACCCUCAAGCCAGACCGGAAAAAGAUCAUCGUCGAGACCAAACAGGUCUAGAGCCCCGUAUGGCAGAUCCGGGGCAAGAAGAUCAUCGAAGUAAAUGCAUUUACCGGAGAACUGCUGUCAGAACCCAUGGAUGAAGGCGUAGAAGUCUUCUAAAACCCGCACACUAUGAUCGUUGUUCUUGGCGGGAGAGC
rnacentral:rRNA from 1 species